UUAAGUCCCGCAACCGAGCGCAACCCUUAUUGCUAGUUACCAUCAUUAAGUUGGGGACGUCUAGCGAGACUGCCAGUGAUAAACUGGAGGAAGGUGGGGAUGACGUCAAAUCAUCAUGCCCCUUAUGACCUGGGCUACAAACGUGAUACAAUGGCUGAAACAAAGGGCAGCGAAGCAGUGAUGUGAAGCGAAACCCAAAAAAGCAGUCUCAGUUCGGAUUGAAGUCUGCAACUCGACUUCAUGAAGUCGGAAUCGCUAGUAAUCGCGAAUCAGAACGUCGCGGUGAAUACGUUCUCGGGGUUU
rnacentral:rRNA from 1 species